rnacentral:rRNA from 1 species
GGCGCGCGAUACAGGGUGACAGCCCCGUACACAAAAGCGCAUGUGCUGUGAGCUCGAUGAGUAGGGCGGGACACGUGGUAUCCUGUCUGAAUAUGGGGGGACCAUCCUCCAAGGCUAAAUACUCCUGACUGACCGAUAGUGAACCAGUACCGUGAGGGAAAGGCGAAAAGAACCCCGGCGAGGGGAGUGAAAAAGAACCUGAAACCGUGUACGUACAAGCAGUGGGAGCACAGGUUUACCUGUGUGACUGCGUACCUUUUGUAUAAUGGGUCAGCGACUUAUAUUCUGUAGCAAGGUUAACCGAAUAGGGGAGCCGUAGGGAAACCGAGUCUUAACCGGGCGUUAAGUUGCAGGGUAUAGACCCGAAACCCGGUGAUCUAGCCAUGGGCAGGUUGAAGGUUGGGUAACACUAACUGGAGGACCGAACCGACUAAUGUUGAAAAAUUAGCGGAUGACCUGUGGCUGGGGGUGAAAGGCCAAUCAAACCGGGAGAUAGCUGGUUCUCCCCGAAAGCUAUUUAGGUAGCGCCUCGUGAAUUCAUCUCCGGGGGUAGAGCACUGUUUCGGCUAGGGGGCCAUCCCGGCUUACCAACCCGAUGCAAACUGCGAAUACCGGAGAAUGUUAUCACGGGAGACACACGGCGGGUGCUAACGUCCGUCGUGAAGAGGGAAACAACCCAGACCGCCAGCUAAGGUCCCAAAGUCAUGGUUAAGUGGGAAACGAUGUGGGAAGGCCCAGACAGCCAGGAUGUUGGCUUAGAAGCAGCCAUCAUUUAAAGAAAGCGUAAUAGCUCACUGGUCGAGUCGGCCUGCGCGGAAGAUGUAACGGGGCUAAACCAUGCACCGAAGCUGCGGCAGCGACACUCAGGUGUUGUUGGGUAGGGGAGCG